rnacentral:rRNA from 1 species
GACGAACGCUGGCGGCGUGCUUAACACAUGCAAGUCGAGCGGUAAGGCCCUUUCGGGGUACGACGAGCGGCGAACGGGUGAGUAACACGUGGGUGACCUGCCCUCAGCUCUGGGAUAAGCCUGGGAAACCGGGUCUAAUACUGGAUAUGACUCCAUGACGCAUGUUGUGGGGUGGAAAGCCUUGUGCGGCUGAGGAUGGGCCCGCGGCCUAUCAGCUUGUUGGUGGGGUGAGGGCCUACCAAGGCGACGACGGGUAGCCGGCCUGAGAGGGCGACCGGCCACACUGGGACUGAGACACGGCCCAGACUCCUACGGGAGGCAGCAGUGGGGAAUCUUGCGCAAUGGGCGAAAGCCUGACGCAGCGACGCCGCGUGAGGGAUGACGGCC